AGAAGAGGAUUUUGUGAACCUCACUCAGAAUUUCUAGCUCUGUCUUAGAGUUAAUUUAGGGAGCAGUCGAAUCCAGCCAUGAGAAACAGGCCAGACAGUGAGACUGGCUCUUACCAGAUGUGAGCUCUUAGACAUGUCCCACGGCCCCUGUGGCAUCGGGGGUUUACAUUCACAUCUGUAAAUGAAGGAAACAUUGACUCCCACAGAACACACUUCAUGUGAAUCUGUAAGUAGAAACGCUAAUGAGAAUUAAUUAUUUAUGAAGCAUGGGCACUCGCAUCCAUGCUGGGACACAGCCUAUUCUGAGGCAUCCCUUCCAGAACUCGCUAUAUAGUAGGAGACAUGCAAAUAAGUCCCUCCCUCUGCUGAUGAAAACCAGCCCAGCCCUGACCCUGCAGCUCUGGGAGAGGAGCCCCAGCCUGGGAUUCCCAGGUGUUUCCAUUCAGUGAUCAGGACUGAACACACAGGACCCACCAUGGAAUUUAGGCUGAGCUGGGUUUUCCUUGUUGCCAUAUUAGAAGGUGAUUCAUGGAGAACUAGAGAUAUUGAGUGUGUCCAGUGUGAGGAGCAGCUGGUGGAGUCUGGGGGAGGCUUGGUACAGCCUGGGGCAUCCCUGAGGCUCUCCUGUGCAGCCUCUGGAUUCACCUUCAGUAGCUAUGACAUGCACUGGGUUCGCCAGGCUCCAGGGAGAGGUCUGGAGUGGGUCUCAGCUAUUAGCGUUGGUGGUGGCACAUACUACCCAGACUCUGUGAAGGGUCGAUUCACCAUCUCCAGAGACAAUGCCAAGAACUCCUUGUAUCUUCAAAUGGACAGCCUGAGAGCCGAGGACACGGCCAUGUAUUACUGUGCAAGAGACACAGUGAGGGGAAGUCAAUGUGAGCCCAGACACAAACCUCCCUGCAGGGACACUGGAGGAAAUCAGCUGCAGGGGUUGCUCAGGAGCCACUGAUCAGAGUCAACCCCAGAGACAGGUGCACAUGGAGGCUGAUUUCCUGUCAGGAUGUGGGACUUCAUCUUUUUACUCUUUCUCUAGGGAACCUCUCUAAGUUCAGCAUCCUGUGCUUACCAACGUCAUCUCUACUGAUUUUUAAAAUGAUAAUUUUAAUGUGAGAACCUGUUCUCAUAUGUACACAACGCAGAUUGAUGCUUACGGAGAUGAAAAGUCCUCAACCAUGGUCACCAGGAUCAGAGUCAUGAGGAAACGCAGGGUGCCUCGUGAGUCUUCUUCAAUUAGACUCAGGCCAGAAAUCUCAGUGAGAUUCCCUGACUAGAACAGUCUUUAGGAAUUUUGAUCACAGCCAAUAGAGAGGCUGGGCCAGGGUCAGUGUCAUGGAGAACUUCAGAGGUUUCACGUCUGAUCCUUCUACUGACACUAAAGUAUGAAAUCAGAAUCAGCACUGAUCUGGGAUGCCUUUUACUCUUAGCCCAUUCUAUUUCUUUUUGUUUGUUGUUGUUCUUGCUUUUUCUUGUACUGCUUCUGCUCCAUGUAAAGUGGGGAUGUGGUUCUCGCUGCUAAAGCUCCGGGCCUCAAGCCCAUUCCCUGCAGCUCAGGUGGGGCUUAGACUGUGGCUGCUGCAGGCUGACUUUCUUCUCUCCCAUUGCUCAGCACCCUGCAGUGUGUUGACUUACCUGGGAAUGCAAGUGGCCAAUAGUAGUGAAGGGGAUGAGCUUGUGUGGACAAAAUGGGAUGUGGAUGUGAAAUUUAUCCUGUGCUGUGCAAAGUACCACAGAGUCACCUUCCUCACCAGUAUACUGUGUUAGAAAGAAGGUGUGAAAGUUGUCAGAAUCAAAAUGAAGCCACUUGUGUUAACACCCUGACAAAUGGAACUACGAAUGACCAGGAAGAAGGGUUCCCACGUACAUACUCCUGAUAACAAGAGCUACCAUAAAUGGAUUCUGCUUAACCACAACCUUGGAUAGCAGCCACCAAAACCUUUUAAAAAUCGCUUCUACAAGGACAUCUUCCCAGCAGCUGCCUGUUUAACCCUACACUGAUGCCACCCUUGGUGUUGAUUCCACGUGCAAAGAAUAAUUCUUUCAAAACAACUUAUGUAACCCACCUCAUUUUUACUUCCUAAACCUAUGGAUUGACAUCCUGGAGUCACUGCUGCAUUUGUUCUUAAUGUUAAUUAGCCCCUUUACAAUAUUUGAAUCUGUUUUUCUCUGAUGUCUCUUCUAAUAUAAAGAAUUACCAUGUUGACACCAAUUAAGAAGCUAUUUAGGAAGAUGUAACAGGAAGACAUUUUUAACAUCCUGUUGAAUGUUUCUGCAUAGCACAUCGAUCCCCUAAAAUACUUUGCUAUAUCGGCAUGUGAUGAAUCAGAGUAUGACAUUGAAGGUGACAUGCGAAAUACAAGGGCUUGUGAUGAAUCAAUUCAUAGGGUGAUAAUGUGUGUGUCCUUGAGGAAGGAGACCAUGGGUUGUAAGUUCUAGUAGGGGUGCCUUUGGCAAAGGGAGUUCCUGAGUUUCUGAACGUUAUGCUACCUUUAACUCAAGGAUGCAAUUUACGAUUUCUUUUUACUUAAAUAUUUCCAGAAGACAUUUGGCAGUAAUCGCAGGGUAGUAUUCAUGUAGUACUGAUGACUUAGAGAGUUAUUUUUUAAUUGUUCCUGUAAGUUAUGCACAUUGCUCACUUGAUGCAGAAGUUCAAAUUGUCAGUUAGGAAAACAGGUAUACUAUAGAUUUUAUGAACUGUAAUGAUGGUAGUUUUUCGCAAGAAACUGUUUCGUGUCAACCUGAAAAUAAACAGACAACAAUAAAAAAUAUUCCAAUCCACAGGGAGUCUGACCUCUGUCCCUCUCUCUUCUUAUAAGUACAAGUCUUUGCCACAUCCAAAAUAUUCUUCAGGCUCCAGGGUAUAAAAUGCUUUUA